rnacentral:rRNA from 1 species
GACGAACGCUGGCGGCGUGCUUAACACAUGCAAGUCGAACGGAAAGGCCCUGCUUUUGUGGGGUGCUCGAGUGGCGAACGGGUGAGUAACACGUGAGUAACCUGCCCUUGACUUUGAGAUAACUUCAGGAAACUGGGGCUAAUACCGGAUAGGAGCUCCUGCUGCAUGGUGGGGGUUGGAAAGUUUCGGCGGUUGGGGAUGGACUCGCGGCUUAUCGGCUUGUUGGUGGGGUAGUGGCUUACCAAGGCUUUGACGGGUAGCCGGCCUGAGAGGGUGACCGGCCACAUUGGGACUGAGAUACGGCCCAGACUCCUACGGGAGGCAGCAGUGGGGAAUAUUGCACAAUGGGCGGAAGCCUGAUGCAGCAACGCCGCGUGCGGGAUGACGGCCUUCGGGUUGUAAACCGCUUUCGCCUGUGACGAAGCGUGAGUGACGGUAAUGGGGAAAGAAGCACCGGCUAACUACGU